UACAGAGGGGGCAAGCGUUGUUCGGAAUUACUGGGCGUAAAGGGCGCGUAGGCGGCCUUCUAAGUCGAACGUGAAAUCCCCGGGCUCAACCCGGGAACUGCGUCCGAUACUGGAAGGCUUGAAUCCGGGAGAGGGAUGUGGAAUUCCAGGUGUAGCGGUGAAAUGCGUAGAUAUCUGGAGGAACACCGGUGGCGAAGGCGGAUCUCUGGGCCUUACCUGACGCUGAGGAGCGAAAGCAUGGGGAGCAAACAGG
rnacentral:rRNA from 1 species